rnacentral:rRNA from 1 species
AACGAACGCUGGCGGCAUGCCUAACACAUGCAAGUCGAACGAGACCUCCGGGUCCUGUGGCGCAUGGGUGUGUAACGCGUGGGAACCUGCCCUUAGGUUCGGCAUAACUCUCCGACAGGGGUGCUAAUACCGGACAAUGUCUUCGGACCAAUGAUUUAUUGCCUUUGGAUGGACCCGCGUUGGAUUAGCUAGUUGGUAGGGUAAAAGCAUACCAAGGCGACAAUCCAUAGCUGGUUUGAGAGGAUGAUCAGCCACACUGAGACUGGGACACGGCCCAGACUCCUACGGGAGGCAGCAGUGGGGAAUAUUGGACAAUGGGCGAAAGCCUGAUCCAGCAAUGCCGCGUGAGUGAUGAAGGCCUUAGGGUUGUAAAGCUCUUUUACCCGGGAUGAUAAUGACAGUACCGGGAGAAUAAGCUCCGGCUAACUCCGUG